UACGGAGGGUGCAAGCGUUAUCCGGAUUCACUGGGUUUAAAGGGUGUGUAGGCGGGCAGUUAAGUCAGUGGUGAAAUCUCCGGGCUCAACCCGGAAACUGCCAUUGAUACUAUCUGUCUUGAAUUUUGUUGAGGUAGGCGGAAUAUGUCAUGUAGCGGUGAAAUGCAUAGAUAUGACAUAGAACACCAAUUGCGAAGGCAGCUUACUAAGCAAAUAUUGACGCUGAGGCACGAAAGCGUGGGGAGCAAACAGG
rnacentral:rRNA from 1 species